rnacentral:lncRNA from 1 species
UCCUGCUACAUGCAGAUCCUUAUUCAAAUCACCGAGCUUAGGCGAACUACGUUCUUCCCUCGAACCGAGACCAAGAUAAUUUUCAAUGUGUCGAGAAAUUGACCGACGUCCCACUGCACUCGUUAAUUCGAGAUUAUGCAGCGUUGAUUACGGCGCCAUUAAGCGGAGCGAUAACGACCACCUCCGACCUCGAAGAGAUGGCCGAGUGACCGAAAGCAGAGCAAGCUUCAGUUAGUUGGAGUCUUAUUGCGGAAGGAGAACAUCAUGCGGUUCGAAAGACGCGAGAUGGUCAGUCGAAAGUUUUUCCUCGUAGUCGCCAUCGUCGCCGUUUCGAUUUCCCACGCCAGCGGUCGGCCGCGUGCAGACUUUGGUAACGUCUUCUCAGGCCUCGGCAAAGCGAUAAACACCAUUCGCGACGACGUCAAGACGGCCCUUCACUUUUCUGUACGGGGCACGGCCAGCACCCCCAUUUCCACAUCUACAACUCCGCCCCCCACGACGGCGGACCCAAACUUUCGUCACAUCAUUGACGUAGCUACUACACGAAAAUGCCCCGGAACACAGCUUAAGGUCGGGGAUACAUGUCGCCCCUCACUUGGAUGACCGGGCAAAUCAAACUUUGAGUGACCACGGGUCCGCGACCAGAUGUAAUGUUCCAGCCUCCGGGAACGAGGGACUACCUUUCAUCAAAUUCUGCCAAUCCGUUGCCGACCCGUAUCAAAAUCUCUCGAGGAAGAGCCACAGCUGAGUUCACCCGACGUCACUCUCAAUAUUGCUUACUUCGUUACGUCUGUGUAUACCUUACACCCUGUAACUCUAGGAUCUUUAUAUUUCACUCUAUUUUCUCUCCUCAAUCCCUGAUUUUACUCCCCUUACUUUCACUAUCGUGAAAGUACAGACUUAUGAUAUUUCACACUAAACUCACACACGUACGAAGUUUGCACCUAAUUUCUUUGAUAUAAUACAUGUUACUUCAUAUUACGACCGUAUUGACAUAUAUAAUAUGUAUAAAUACACAUACGUAUAUGCGUACACACAAAUAUUCGCAUAUUCGUAUGGUAUAUAGAAAUACGAAUAAAAUUCUUUUCGAACUGUGA